AAGAUUCUGGUACAACUUCAAACUUCUAAGCUUCUACAAUCAAACCCUAAUGCAUGCUCUCUUGCUAAGAUCAUCCAACUUUAAGUGAGAUUGAGUUAAGACCAAAAUGAUGAAGUCUUCAUGCUUGAAUCAUCUCUAAACCAUGAUCACCCUAGAGUCUUGAACUCAAAAGGAUUGAAUAAAAAUGGAAGGGUGGAAUUCGACCUUCUAGAGAGAGGGAGGAGAAAAUUCUGCCCUUA
rnacentral:lncRNA from 1 species